rnacentral:lncRNA from 1 species
UAGAGGUAAUAUCUUCGCUUCUAAACAAUACGCUUAACAUCCACCGUCCUAUUCAUGCAUCGUUAAACGUCUUUGCAAUUAAAUAAUAAAAGUAUGAAUCAUAGAAUAAUUUUUGCAAUUGUUGGCUGCCAGUUGGCUAUAGCUGUACUUGGAAAUGACGAGAGUGCUCAUCAUGGAGAAUGGUCAUACGACUCAGACACAGGU